rnacentral:lncRNA from 1 species
UUCAGUAACCCUGAAGACCAACAUUAUCUUCCUCGUACCCCUGUCCCUCUCCGCCUCCACCAUUGUAUCUUCGCUGGAGCCGCCACCGUCAGUGAACGCCACACAUGCCAAUGACCCCCAAAUUAACACCACUAACCCUCCUUGCUCUCCUCUUCCCAUUCCCACUAUUGCCUUCUCUCGAAUCUCACCGGAAACCUUCGAAUCUUCGUUGGAAAAUUUUUCGGCCAAGACGCAACGUCUUCCAAAUCACCCCAGAUUUAUACCAGUGAAUCUCCUUUGUUCCCUAUUUCUAAUAACCCAAGAAUUUCUCCUCGAACUUGGCCGGAAUUCCUCGAAUUUCAGUUUGAAUUUUCUGGCCAAAAACCCUAGGCAUUCUGAAGUACUCCAAAUUGGUGCUACGUGAUCUUCGGUCUUGCCUCGUGACGAAUUAAAUGUUUGUAGCCGCCGAAUGCCAUUGAAGUUGGUCGAGUCUUAUACUAGUGAGUUCCUCAUAAUUUUUGUUUGGUUUUUUUUCUGUUUUUUCUUCUGUGUCAUUAUUCGACUCGGAUUCAGUUUUAUCUCUAGGGUUAAUAAUUGAAGAUUGUUCUUGUUGGCUCUCGAAUUUCUGUAACUGAUGAAUUUGGCAGUACCUAAGGAUAGUCUUGUUUAGGGUUUAAUUUAGUUUAGAUGAUUGGAUAAAUAUGGUUUAAAAAUAAUAGAAAUUAGUAAGUUCAAUUCUCGUUUAGUUAAUUAAUUAUUUUGCCUUGAUUUAGUUACUAAUAGUGGUUCGUUAACAUGAUUAAUUGUUCUGUAAUUGUUCAAAAUGGUCCAAUCUGAUCUUACUAAAUUUAUGAUGGUCAUUUGAUAGGUUGUUCUGAUUGUUGAUAAUAAUGGGGGAUUUGGGAGUCAGUUAGUUAGUGUGAAUUUAGGAUUUGAUUAACCAUAGUUAAAAGUUCAUCUAAGGUAGUUAGGAUAGUAAUUUCAAAAUAAGUUCAGGACAGUUGGGUAAUUGACAUUGGACUUGAAAGUUGUAGGUUAGAGUAGAAGGCCUUAGAAUCUGCUAGAAUAGGGUUUAAGCGUAGGUUUUCAGUAAUUGUAAGGUAUUGACUUGUAACACAAGUCAAGAGAUGGAGGUUUAAAUGAAAAAAGAAGAGGGACUGUGCUGCAAAGCUAAAAAUUUGUUACCCUCUUAGUUGUGUCGCAUCAUAUUUGCCUUAACCCACAAGUUUGGUAGCCUAAAAAUCCUUCCCCCCCCCCCCCCCCCCNNNNNNNNNNNNNNNNNNNNNNNNNNNNNNNNNNNNNNNNNNNNNNNNNNNNNNNNNNNNNNNNNNNNNNNNNNNNNNNNNNNNNNNNNNNNNNAAAAUCCUUCCCCCCCCCCCCUCCCCCAUAAAGUAUUCUCCAAGCUUCCAGCUCUGAAAUUAGCAUAUAAGAUCUGAAAUUCCUUUAGAUCUCAACUUUUAAAAAAAAUCAAAAACCUAAAUAAUGAACUUCGAAGCUAGGCAGUGAUUUUUAUCUCUUCUUCUGUUGAAACUGUUCUUUAACUUACUAAGUUUUUUCCUAGAUAUAAUCGAAUUCAAUUGAGCCUGUUUUGGAUUGCUAAAAGUUUUAAUUGGUGUUGGGGUCAUCUUUGGUCCAAUUUGGUGAAGUUUUGGUAGAUCCACUAUUUCUGUUUAGCUUUUGAAGCAUUUAUGAGCUGUUGAACUGUUCUGAACUGGAUUUAGUCCUUGCUAAGUGACUGUUGUUGUGCUACCUUCUUCUCCUAUUGAAAUGAUUCCCAAGUACUUAUCAUGCAACUCAAUCUUAUGUAUCUCUUCUACUGGAAAAUGAAAUGAAAAUUGGAAGAUUCUGUUAUGAUAUGUCGUUUUAGCUUUAUUACAUUUCAAGAAAUUUUAUGCUGUUUGGGUUUGCUGUAUGAUGUAUUUAAUCUGGAUAUAUAACUAGACUGGUUGAAUUGUGGAAUGUAAUCCAUAUUUAAUUAGCUUCAGAUUUAGUAUAGGUGUUACUUGCAUAGCAUAGUAAUAUUCUGUUUAGCUUAAUUCAAGUUUGUAUUUGAGCUGGAAUUGAUGAUUAGUCGUCAAAUAUGUAUAUGACAGUUGAUUCCUGUAGUUUAGUUCAUUAGGUUGCUAAACUCAGACUGUCAUAAAUUAUUAAGUUAGCUCAAUUAAUAAGUGAUUUUUUCAGUGUUAUUUUCAACUUUGACUUAAUCAGGGAAAUAUGAGGCUGGUUUGCUUUAAUUGAGAUAACAAUUUGAUUGUUGCAAGCAUAAAUAAUUGUAUGAAGUAGGAAUUAGCAUUAAGAAGGUUGGGACGUUUGGGUUUGCCUACAGGCAUAAUUCUAUGUACCUGCUUGGGCUCGGUCGUGUGGCCAUGUUCCUCAGCCACGCCUAGACACCAUGCAUUGGCUGAUUUUUCCUAGCAGAUUAAGCCCUUGAUCUUUUGGGACAGCAAUCUUUGAUUUUAAAUUAUAAAAUUAGUAAUGACCUUAUCAGAUCGUUUAUUCCAAGCUAAAUGGCAGGCAGCCCAGGUCCUAAUUUCACUAUUGUGUGCGUCUGGGCUUUUGGGCCUGAAGCUGGAAAAGGAAAGCUUGUGUUUCUACAACAAUUAUUAGUUAGUUUUUUUUGUAUUUGGUUAGAGACAAGUAAGUAGAAAAAGUAUAGAUGCCUUAGUAUUGACUUUAAAAUAAAAUCAGACGAGGAUCACCCAACGAAAAAACAAAAUAGCAGGGCCCUUAAUAAAUGGUCGUUAAAACUUAUUAGAAAUUGGGAGGUCCGUUUAGUGAACUUCACGGCCUUCCCCAAAAUAUUAUUACGUUAGAACCUUUAGGCAUGAUUUAAUUAAAUUACUUUCUUAAACUCGGGUGUGCGUUGAUGCAACCCAAAUUCAAAUCUCAACAAAGUCAAAAUGUGCUGACAACCACGGGCGCAUUGAUUGAGACGUGGCUCAAAACGCAUUUUCACGACAUCGUAAUUCUUAUAAAAUAAAGAUAAAAAAGAGGUUCACAAAAUAAGACGAGCCUCACCGAACAAAAUAAACAAAUGGGAGGCCCUCAAUAAAUGGUUGUUAAAAAUGAUUAGAAUUUGGGAGGGCCAUUUAGCGAACUUCACGGCACUUUCCAAAAAUAAUAUUACGUUAGAACCUUUAGGUGCGAUUAAAUAAAUUACUUCCUUAAAAUCGGGUGCGGAUUGAUGUGACCCAACAACGAUGUCGAAAUGUGCUGACCACCACGGGUGCAUUGAUUGUGACGUGGUUCGAAAUGUGUUUUCACGACGUCGCAAUUCAUUUAAAAUAAAUAAUGAUAAAAAACGGUUUACGAAUAAAAAGCACAUAUGCUAGCAUGUAUUAAAAUCAAAUAAAAUCAAAUGCAACAGUUAAUCGACCGUGCUAGAACCGCGGAACCCGGGAAUGCCUAACACCUUCUCCCAGGUUAAUAGAAUUCCUUACUCGGAUUUCUAGUUCGCAGACUGUAGAAAAGUCAUAUCUUUCCUCGAUUCGGGAUUCAACCGGUGACUUGGGACACCAUUUAUCUUCCAAGUUGCGACUCUGAAUAAUUAAUAACUAAAUCUUGUUCUGAUUUUCCUUUAAGUGAAAAAACUCCUUUACGCCCCUUGCGGGUGUGAGUGAAAAAGGAGGUGUAACACUGAGGCAGUUGAAGUUGUAAUUCCGGUUUCCAGGGUGAAACUUCUUCCACACAGUUUAUGGGAGUUGAAGUUCCCCUGACUCCUGCUUCCCUCGGUGAUUUUAAUAUUUCAGGCCCACUAGAAACCGCUUAUAUUGAUGCUCCCUCAAAAGUUGUUACCAUGCCUAUGGUUACCUCUGAAAGUGAGAUUGUAGCUUCAGCUUCUGAUAUUCCAACCCCUUCAGUAAACAGUUAAAUAGUCAAACUUUAUCGUUGUUGUUUUUUUAUUGAUUGGUGGUGUUAUCCCUUGAUAAUUUUAAGACAUUUUUUGGUGAAAUACCCAGUUACCAUAAUGGGGCAUCUGUAAAAAUAACUAUUUUGCUGACUAAGUUUUUCCUUAGUCUUUUAUAUUAAGAAGUUUUGUCGGUAAUUCUACAUAUUCUAUUCUUGCCUAUUUACUUACUUAGGACUUCUAGAAUAGCUUAGCAUUUUUGUUCUUUGAAAAUGCUUUAUGAUUCUUCUCAUGGAAUAUCAACAUGAGGUUUAUAAAAGAGGGCCCUUUUAUUUUAUCGACACUUAAUGAAGAAGACGUCUCAACUUCAUAGUGGUGUUAUAACAUGAUGAAAGAAAUAGGAAUACAUAUAUUUUGUAUGAAACAACUUUGACGGUUUUUAUUCAUGAACUUUAAAAAGUUUUUUUACUGUUACAUGUAUUAAAAUACAUCUAUAACUUUCUCUAAUUGAUUUUCUUGUAACAGAUAUUUACAUAAUAUAAAAACAAGGUUUUUCUUCAUAACCUGUUUCAGUACAUAGUCAUGACCCUAUCUUUAUAUAUUAGGACGGGUUGGAGAGGUGACUUUCUCGUGGGAAAAAAUGCCUUGUGUUUGUUGAACACGAUGAUGAAUGUUGAAGACUUCGUAACUUUUUCUCAAUACUUGUCUUUUUGUACCUAAAUUUUCUUUUAAAUCUUGCUCAAACUCGACCUACUUUAGUUCGAUAUUCGUAUAUGUUUUUCUGCACGUAUCCGUGUAUAACAUGUAGUCCGCCAAGUGUUUGAGCGGUGAAGUAUAAAGCCUCGAGCACUUGUUUGUUUCUUUCAAUUUUGUCCUUUUCCUGAAACAAAAAAUAUACGGGACUUAGAGGUGUGAUUAUAUAUGAAGACUGCACCUCGUGUGUAUUUCCAUCAGAUUAAUUGUAACCUUGGGCUCAAAAUUUUAGAAUAUUCCAUUUUGCUGUUCAGAUCGUGACUUAUCAUUUGGCACGAGUUAGGGUUUUUGCCUAGCAUCUAAAAUCGUUAGUAAAAUUUUAAUAAUUCAAAAGAAAGAUUCUAACAUGGUGAUACAUGACCAUGGGUACUUUCUCUGAAGUAAUAUCUCUUUAAAUGGACGGCUUCCAAUAUAAGGGUAAAACUUUGCCAUCCAUUGUCUCCAACUCGUAUGCUCCUUUUCCCGCAAUGUCAUGAACUUCGUAUGGUCCUUCCCACGUUGGACAUAGCUUUCCUGAAUUAGUAACCUUCGCAUAUUGGAAUACCUUUUUAAGUACGAAGUCCUCAAUUUUGAAAAAUCUUAGGCGUGCUUUCCUAUUGUAAUAUCGUUCAAUCACUUGCUUUUAUGUUGCCAUUCUUAUCAAUGCAGCUUCUCUUCUUCCUUCAAGCAAAUCAAGGUUGACACGCAUCUCUUCAUCAUUAGAUUCAUCUGUUUCUUGAACAUACCGUGUGUUCAGUUCUCCUAUUUCAACUGAAAUUAAAGCUUCCGCACCAUAAACCAUUGAAAACGGCAUUUCUCUCGUGCUUGUUUUUGUCGUUGUACGAUAAGCCAAUAAUACUCUAGGUAAUAUCUCAGGACAAUUGCCUUUUGAGUCUUGUAACAUUUUCUUCAAAUUAUUGAUGAUGACUUUAUUUGUGGAUUCUGCUUGCCCGUUAGCCACGGGAUGGUAUGGUGUAGAUGUUAUCCUUUUAAUUUACCAACUUUGAAGAAAUUAUGUGAUUUGAGCUCCUAUGAAUUGUGGUCCAUUGGCAAACACGUUCUCCGUUGGUGCUCCAACGCAACAUAUUAUAUCUCGCCAUAUGAAGUCUUUAACUUCCUUCUCUCGUACCUGUUUAAAUGCUCUUGCUUCAACCCAUUUAGUGAAAUAAUCUGUGAGUACAAGUAGGAACUAUACCUGGCCCUUUGCUUAUGCUAGUGGACCUACGAUAUCCAUUCUCCAUUUCAUAAAGGUCCACGGGGCUAUGACAUGAUGUAAUAACUCAUCCGGUCUAUGCAUAUUAUUGCUGUAUCUCUGACAUUUAUCACAUUUGGACACGAAAUUGUUUCUCUUCUUCCAUCUUGGGCCAAUAAUAACCUACUCGAAUCAAUGUUCUUACCAGUGACCUUCCCCCUGCGUGACUUCCGCAAUGUCCUUCAUGCACUUCCCUCAUCACAUAUUCCAUUUGAGAAGGUUUGUGACACUUUGUUAGUGGUCUACCAAACAUCUUCCGAUAAAGAUUUCCUUGAUAUAAACAAUAUCGAGCAGCUUUUUUGCAAAGCACGUGAGCCUUUUCUUUAUCAUUAGGCAUGGUUCCGUGCGGUAAAAAAUCAAUAAUUUUGUUUCUCCAAUCCUAUGCUAAAUGAUUGAAAUUUACCUUGUUCUUGUCAGGUUUGAGAACGGAAUGAAAUAAAUGUAUGACUGAAGCAUUUGCGUCAUUUGCUACGUCAGCUGCAGAUGCGAGAUUAGCUAAAGCGUUUUCCUCCACAUUCUCAUCUCUUGGAAUCUGUAUUACCUUCCAAAUUUGGAAUUGCUUUAUUAGUUCCCGUAUCUUUUUUAUAUAUUCUUGCAUUCGAGUUUCCCUAGCUGUAUAAGUCCCACAUUUGAUUAACCACGAG